rnacentral:rRNA from 1 species
GACGGAGGGGGCAAGCGUUGUCCGGACUCACUGGGCGUAAAGCGCGUGUAGGCGGUCGCGUGCGUCGGUGCUGACAGCGCCCGGCUUAACCGGGCGAGGCGUGCCGAUACGAUGCGACUGGAGACAGGCAGAGGGGGGCGGAAUUCCGGGUGUAGCGGUGAAAUGCGUAGAGCUCCGGAGGAACGCCGGUGGGGGAGCCGGCCGCCUGGGCCUGACCUGACGCUGAGACGCGACAGCGUGGGGAGCAAACCGG